rnacentral:rRNA from 1 species
AUUGAACGCUGGCGGCAGGCCUAACACAUGCAAGUCGAACGAGUGGCGGAAGGGGGAGCAAUGUCUGGGAAACUGCCUGAUGGAGGGGGAUAACUACUGGAAACGGUAACUAAUAACGCAUACCAUAAGAUGUGCCAAGUGGGGAUUAGCUAGUUGGUGGGGUAACGGCUUACCAAGGCGACGAUCCCUAGCUGGUCUGAGAGGAUGACCGGCCACACUGGAACUGAGACACGGUCCAGACUCCUACGGGAGGCAGCAGUGGGGAAUCUUCCACAAUGGACGAAAGUCUGAUGCAGCCAUGCCGCGUGAAUGAAGAAGGCCUUCGGAUUGUAAAGUACUGUCAGUGGGGAAGCGUUACCCGCAGAGAAAGCACCGGCUAACUACGUGCCAGCAGCCGCGGUAAUAC